GAGACGAUGGACAUGAGUGGCAUUUGCACUAUGAAGGAUCUCCCAAGGAUAUUUUGUCAAUGUGCUCUCGUUUCUAUAACAUUGAAGGGGAAGAGCUGAAAAUAGAAGGUGAGAAAAUGAGAAUGUUAGAACAAGUUAGUAAUGAUAUGCUAGCUGAACGAGAAGUAAUUGCAUAUGCUUGCAAACCCACAGAUGGGUCUGAUGAUAUGUCACUUGAAGCAAAUGACUUGAUCUUCAUAGGAAUGACAGGCAUAAGAAACAUAAUUAAGGAUGAUAUAAAAAAUGCAGUCUCGACUUUGGAGGGAGGAGGAGUUAGGACUAUUCUUGUUGCAGGAGAUUGUGUCGAUGUACUUAGACCUAUCGGCAGCAAUUGUGGGCUGCGUAAUCCCGAGACGAAUGCUUUAAAGGGUGAGGAAUUUAGGGACUUAACGGAUGAAGAGAGAAUGCAAAAGGUGGAUACAAUUCGCACCCUGGGAAGCUGUACCCGGCAGGACAAGGUUACUUUAGUGAAGUGCUUGAAAGAAAAAGGUGAAGUGGUAGCAGUGUUGGGGCAGCGAACAAAUGAUGCUCCAGCACUAAAAGAAGCUGAUAUAGGGCUGACAAUGGGGACUUGGAGCUCGGAAACGGCAAAUGAGUGCUCGGAGCUCAUUGUUUGGAAUGCAGAUUUCACUUUUCUGGUUAAUGUGAUCGAGAGUGGGAGACGUACCUACGAGAAUAUACGAAAAUUCAUCCAAUUCCAGCUCAUCAACACCAUUUCGAGCUCAUCGGUUAACUUCAUUGCAACUAUAGUUUUGGGGAAUGCCCCAAUAACAGCAAUGGAGUUGUUCUGGUUGAACUUGGUUGUUGCACUUCUUGGAGGCUUGGCACUGCUGACCAUGCCACCGGCUGAAAACCUGAUGAAAAUGCCUCCGAUCAGAUCAUCUGGACGUCUUAUUACCAAUGCCAUGUGGAGAAAUAUAGCCAUACAAGUCUCUUAUCAAAAUGCCAUAUGUUUGAUUCUUCU
rnacentral:lncRNA from 1 species